rnacentral:rRNA from 1 species
UGGCGCACGGGUGCGUAACGCGUAACCAAUCUGCCCUGAACUGGGGGAUAGCCCGCCGAAAGGCGGAUUAAUACCGCAUAACCCGACAGCCCGGCAUCGGGUACUUGGUAAAGAUUUAUUGGUUCAGGAUGAGGUUGCGUGCCAUUAGCUAGUUGGCGGGGUAAAGGCCCACCAAGGCGACGAUGGCUAGGGGACCUGAGAGGGUGAUCCCCCACACUGGCACUGAGAUACGGGCCAGACUCCUACGGGAGGCAGCAGUAGGGAAUAUUGGGCAAUGGGCGAGAGCCUGACCCAGCCAUGCCGCGUGCCGGAUGAAGGCCUUCUGGGUUGUAAACGGCUUUUCUCAGGGAAGAAAAAGACCAUGCGUGGUACACUGACGGUACCUGAGGAAUAAGCACCGGCUAACUCCGUGCCAGCAGCCGCGGUAAUACGUAGGGUGCAAGCGUUAAUCGGAAUUACUGGGCGUAAAGCGUGCGCAGGCGGUUUUGUAAGUUUGUCGUGAAAUCCCCGGGCUCAACCUGGGAAUGGCGAUGAAGAC